rnacentral:misc_RNA from 1 species
GUUUGAUUUUUGGUCCAAUCCAACCCACAAGAAGAUAUGAACUUGGGGCUGUUGAGAAUUUGCCAAUUUGGGUCCCAUUUUUUUUCUAGGUGUGUGUGCAUGUCAGUGGUGAAAUGGGUCCUACCCAACAGUUCUACUAUACUACCGUAGACGAUGAUGAGAAUGUCCCAAGAGCAGAGGGCAAUUUGCCUGGGUAUGUGACGUUGUUGCCCCCCCUACUGUACGGCGGAAUGUUGAUUAUGGGAAAC